rnacentral:rRNA from 1 species
AUGGAUGAGGAGUACGACGUCAUCGUGCUGGGCACGGGGCUCAAGGAGUGCAUCCUCAGCGGCCUCCUCUCCGUCGACGGCCUCAAGGUUUUGCACAUGGAUAGAAAUGACUAUUAUGGCGGAGAUUCCACUUCUCUCAACCUUAAUCAGCUCUGGAAGAAAUUUAGAGGGGAAGACAAGCCCCCGGCACAUCUAGGCUCAAGCAAAGAUUACAACGUAGACAUGGUUCCAAAGUUUAUGAUGGCAAAUGGGACAUUGGUUCGAACCCUCAUUCACACUAAUGUAACGAAGUAUUUGUCAUUCAAAGCUGUUGAUGGGAGCUUUGUCUUCAGCAAAGGGAAGAUUCACAAGGUUCCCGCGACUGAUAUGGAGGCUCUGAAGUCUCCUUUGAUGGGUCUUUUUGAGAAACGCAGAGCAAGGAACUUCUUCAUUUAUGUCCAAAAUUACGUUGAAGCUGAUCCAAAAACACAUCAGGGAUUGGACCUUACUACGUUGACAACUAAAGAAUUGAUAGCAAAGCACGGCUUAAGUGAUGAUACAGUGGAUUUCAUUGGCCACGCGCUUGCUCUCCAUAGGGAUGAUCGUCACCUCGAUGAACCAGCACUUGAUACUGUGAAAAGGAUGAAAUUAUAUUCAGAGUCUCUUGCACGUUUUCAAGGGGGCUCGCCUUAUAUUUAUCCUCUAUAUGGGCUGGGUGAGCUGCCACAGGGUUUUGCACGUCUAAGUGCUGUUUAUGGUGGCACUUACAUGUUAAGUAAGCCAGAAUGCAAGGUUGAAUUCAAUAUGGAAGGAAAAGCGUGUGGUGUUACAUCAGAAGGUGAAACUGCAAAAUGCAAGAAAGUUGUCUGCGAUCCUUCAUACUUGACCAACAAGGUCAGGAAGAUCGGCAAAGUUGCACGUGCAAUUGCUAUUAUGAGCCAUCCAAUCCCAAAUACAAAUGAGUCCCACUCAGUCCAGAUUAUUUUGCCACAGAAACAACUUGGACGCAAAUCAGACAUGUAUGUCUUCUGUUGCUCAUACACCCACAAUGUCGCACCAAAAGGGAAGUUCAUUGCAUUUGUCUCUGCAGAAGCGGAGAGUGAUAAUAUACAAUCCGAACUCAAGCCUGGCAUUGAUCUACUUGGUCCAGUAGAUGAGCUCUUUUUUGAUAUGUAUGACAGAUAUGAACCAGUGAACGAACCAUCUCUUGAUAAUUGCUUCAUCUCAACGAGCUAUGAUGCUACCACACAUUUUGAGACAACUGUGACAGACGUUCUUAACAUGUAUACAAUGAUCACCGGAAAGACUAUUGAUCUCAGCGUUGAUUUGAGUGCUGCUAGUGCCGCUGAAGAAGAAUACUAG